rnacentral:lncRNA from 1 species
GAAACCCUCACGAGACAAAACUUGUCCACUAGGGCCACCUAGGGGUUUAAAGCCUUAUUGCAUACGGUAAAUGCAAUCGCGAUUCCUGCGAAAGUGAGUUAGUUUUUUUUAUUUUGCUCGAGGACUAGCAAAAUGUAGGUUGGGGGGUGUGAUAAGUGCUAAAUAAUGCAUAAAUUAACCUCUUCUUCAUAGCACUUAUCAUUAUUUUAAUUCACAUAUUUUAUAAAUUUAACUAAAAAAAUGUAUUUUCU